rnacentral:rRNA from 1 species
UACGUAGGGCGCGAGCGUUGUCCGGAAUUAUUGGGCGUAAAGAGCUCGUAGGUGGCUUGUUGCGUCUGCCGUGAAAGCCCGUGGCUUAACUACGGGUCUGCGGUGGAUACGGGCAGGCUAGAGGCUGGUAGGGGCAAGCGGAAUUCCUGGUGUAGCGGUGAAAUGCGCAGAUAUCAGGAGGAACACCGGUGGCGAAGGCGGCUUGCUGGGCCAGUUCUGACGCUGAGGCACGAAAGCCAGGGGAGCAAACGGG